GGGGCAAAACAGACUAUCGCUAGGUGGAAACACCGAGAGGAAAGUCCGGGCAACUUAAGCAGCAUACUUCCUAACGGGAAGGUCUUUGGUUUAGGCCAGGGAACAGACAGUGCCACAGAAAAUAAACUACCUUUUUUGCUCCGGCAAAAGAGGAAAAGGUGAAAAGGCGGGGUAAGAGCCCACCGGGUGUUUAGUGAUAAACAUUGCAUGGUAAACCUUAUGCGUUGCAAGGCCAAAUAGGCAAGAAAUAAAAGGGUGUUCGCUUAGCACCAACAGUGUAAACUGUUUUUCUUGCGGGUAGGCUGCUACACCCUUUAAGUGAUUACUGGGGCAGAUAAAUGAUAGUCACUCCGCCCCGCGCGGAGUACAGAACCCGGCUUAUCGUUUUGCAUAAAAA
rnacentral:RNase_P_RNA from 1 species